rnacentral:rRNA from 1 species
GAUGAACGCUGGCGGCGUGCUUAACACAUGCAAGUCGAACGAAGCACUUUACUUGAUCUUUUCGGAGUGAUUGUUUUGUGACUGAGUGGCGGACGGGUGAGUAACGCGUGGGUAACCUGCCUCACACAGGGGGAUAACAGUUGGAAACGGCUGCUAAUACCGCAUAAGCGCACAGUACCGCAUGGUACGGUGUGAAAAACUCCGGUGGUGUGAGAUGGACCCGCGGCGGAUUAGCUAGUUGGCAGGGCAACGGCCUACCAAGUCGACGAUCAGUAGCCGAGCUAGGAGGGGGACCGGCCACAUCGUGGCUAAGACCCGGCCCAAACUCCUACGGGAGGUAGCAGUGGGGAAUAUUGGACAAUGGGGGAAACCCUGAUGCAGCAAUGCGGCGUGAGUGAUGACGGGCUUCGGGUUGUAAAGCUCUGUCUUCGGGGACGAUAAUGACGGUACCCGAGGAGGAAGCCACGGCUAACUACGUGCCAGCCGCCGCAGUAA